rnacentral:rRNA from 1 species
UACGAAGGGUGCAAACGUUGCUCGGAAUUAUUGGGCGUAAAGCGCACGUAGGCGGCUCGGCAAGUCGGAUGUGAAAUCCCUCGGCUCAACCAAGGAAGUGCAUCCGAAACUGCGGAGCUUGAGUACUUAAGAGGAUCGCGGAAUUCCCGGUGUAGAGGUGAAAUUCGUAGAUAUCGGGAAGAACACCCGUGGCUAAGGCGGCUCUCUAGUACGGUACUGACGCUGAGACGCGAAAGCGUGGGGAGCGAACAGG